UUCUGGUUAGCUGAGGUGGUAGAGCGCUCUACUGGAAAUGGAGAGGUCCCUGGUUCGAUACCAGCACCAGGUG
rnacentral:tRNA from 2 species